GCUCACGACAGUAGAGCUCCACUGUCUGCUUUGUAAAGACAAAUAUCAAACAUGAUUCUUUUGCAAAAAAUCUGAGAACCAACAGAGGGGAGAAUGAGUGGAGAAGGGAAACUAGUGGGUGUGACCGGAGCAUCCGGUUACAUAGCUUCCUGGCUAGUGAAGUUAUUGCUUCAACGUGGCUACAGAGUCAAAGCUUCAGUUCGUGACCCAAAUGAUCCAAAGAAGAUUGAACACUUACUUGCACUUGAUGGGGCUAAAGAAAGACUGCAAUUGUUCAAAGCCGAUUUACUGGAUGAAGGAUCUUUUGAUCCGGUGGUUAAGGGAUGCGAAUGUGUUUUCCAUACAGCAUCCCCAUUUUACUUCACUGUAACUGAUCCCCAGGCACAACUUAUUGAUCCUGCAUUGAAGGGGACACUGAAUGUUCUUAGAUCAUGUACUAAAGUUUCUUCUAUCAAAAGAGUGGUUAUAACAUCAUCCAUGGCUGCAGUUGCUUUCAAUGGCAAACCUCUUGCUCCUGAUGUAAUAGUUGAUGAGACUUGGUUUUCAGAUCCUGAUUUCUGUGAGAAAUCUAAGUUAUGGUACAUGCUCUCCAAAACCUUAGCAGAAGAAGCUGCUUGGAAGUUUACCAAAGAGAAUGGAAUGGACAUGGUUACAAUAAACCCAGGAUUGGUGAUUGGUCCUCUCUUACAGCCAACUCUUAAUACCAGUGCAGAGUCAGUUCUGAAGCUUAUAAAUGUUGAGAUUAUUUGUGAUGCAACACUUGAGAUUACUGGAUGGCAGGAGCAGAAAAAUAUCCAAAUACAACAUACAGAUGGGUUGAUGUUAGAGAUGUUGCCAAUGCACAUAUCUGUGCCUUCGAGAAUCCUUCAGCUUCUGGAAGAUACUGUUUAGUUGGGACAGUUAUACACUCUUCUGAGGCUAUGAAGAUUCUUCACAAACUUUACCCAGAUAACAAUCUUCCCAAAGAAUGUACAGAUGACAAGCCACCUGCGACAAAAUAUCAAGUAUCGAAAGAGAGAGCAGAGAGUCUAGGUGUGAAGUUCACUCCUCUUGAUGUAAGUUUGAAGGAGACUGUUGAAAGCUUGAAGGAGAAGAACCUAGUUAGCUUCUGAUUUGUAUUGAUGGAUAUUCUUGAGGCCUUCGUCUUGUAAUGAUUAUGAAGCAUUCUAAAAAUAAGCUGAAGCCUGCACAUACAUCAUUUACACUAUUUGGUUUGCAGGUGUAAUUGAAUACUUGUCACUAUUCAUUAAAACUCCAUCUUGGUUUCCUUUUCUAUUAAUUUAUACUGUUAAAGCACUA